UACGUAGGUGACAAGCGUUGUCCGGAUUUACUGGGUGUAAAGGGCGUGUAGGCGGGAUGUUAAGUCAGAUGUGAAAUUCCAAAGCUCAACUUUGGCGCUGCAUCUGAAACUGAUGUUCUUGAGUGAUGGAGAGGAAAGCGGUAUUCCUAGUGUAGCGGUGAAAUGCGUAGAUAUUAGGAGGAACACCAGUGGCGAAGGCGGCUUUCUGGACAUUAACUGACGCUGAGGCGCGAAAGCGUGGGGAGCAAACAGG
rnacentral:rRNA from 1 species